rnacentral:rRNA from 1 species
UGUUUUUUAAUACUGGCCUCUGCCCUAUGUUUUUUAAAUGGCAGUCUUAGCGUGAGGACAUUAAGGUAGCAAAAUAAUUUGUGCUUUUAAUGGGUUCUAGUAUGAAUGAGGUUUUUGGUUAAUUAUUUAUUUGAUUUUUUAUGAAUUAAUAUUUUAUUUAAGAAUUAAUAGUUAUGGUUAAACAAAGAUAAGUCUUCGAAAAUUUUUUUAUUAAAGUAGCUUUUGUUAUUUUAAUAUUUUUUCUAGGGUAGUGUGAUUAUAUAAUUUUUGUUACUAUUGAUAUUUUAAAAAAUUACUUCGGAGUUAACAGAAAAUCAUACCUUGCUAGUUUCUUAUAGUAUUGGGUAAGUUUUACAUCGAUGUUGUAUCCCAGUUGUGUCAGAGAGGAGUAGGCUGAAUUUUUUAGACUGUUCUUCUGUAAAUAAACUGGACGUGAUAUUAGUUUAAUUCAUCC